UACGUAGGGGGCUAGCGUUGUCCGGAAUCAUUGGGCGUAAAGAGCGUGUAGGCGGUCCGGUAAGUCCGUUGUGAAGGUCAGGGGCUCAACCCUUGAAUGCCGGCGGAUACUGUCGGGCUAGAGUCCGGAAGAGGCGAGUGGAAUUCCCGGUGUAGCGGUGAAAUGCGUAGAUAUCAGGAGGAACACCGGUGGCGAAGGCGGAUCUCUGGGCCUUACCUGACGCUGAGGCGCGAAAGCUAGGGGAGCAAACAGG
rnacentral:rRNA from 1 species